UUAAGUGAAGAGUUUGAUCCUGGCUCAGAUUGAACGCUGGCGGCAUGCCUAACACAUGCAAGUCGAACGGCAGCACAGCAGAGCUUGCUCUGUGGGUGGCGAGUGGCGGACGGGUGA
rnacentral:rRNA from 1 species